GACGAACCGUGCGAACGUUGUUCGGAUUCACUGGGCUUAAAGGGCGCGUAGGCGGAUGGUCAAGUCGGGGGGUGAAAUUUUUCGGCUCAACCGGAAAAGUGCCUUCGAUACUGAUCAUCUCGAGGGAGGUAGGGGCAUGUGGAACUUCCCGGUGGAGCGGUGAAAUGCGUAGAUAUCGGAAGGAACGCCGGUGGCGAAAGCGACGUGCUGGACCUCUUCUGACGCUGAGGCGCGAAAGCCAGGGGAGCAAACAGG
rnacentral:rRNA from 1 species